GGGAUACAGAAAGGAAACAGGAACAAUUACCUAUUCUAUUUUUUUUAAUAAUAAUUACAUUAAAAUGCAACAUAGAUAACAUAAACAUUAUGACCAUUUAGGGAGGAGAUGAAUCAGAUCAUGAACUAAAAAUAAAAAUAGCAAACAAAUGCACCCCUUUCAUUGAAUACAUAUUCCAGUAAAGAGAUCAACCAUAAUAGGUCCCUCUUCACAAAAAUUACACUACUGCUAUUCAUACUAAUACAAAAAAAAGAUCUUAAAGAAAAUUUUAUUAUUGUUUUGAACAAAUGAAUUACAGUUGUAUUUGAUACUAUGCAUGUGUUUAUUGCAGUGAAUUGAAAAUAACAUUUCAAAAUUUAGGCUAAAAUAGCUGAUAUGGAAACAUGCAAUAGUCACAAAAUUGUUAUUUUACCAUGGGGUUUGAAAUUCGGCUUUCAGCUCCCCACAAUUCACUGUUUAGUGACAACAAACUUAAUUUGAUAGCUGGAAGCCAUUAAUGGUAGAAAAUUCAGACAUUUGAAAAUGUUUCUCAGACUCCAACCCUCAAAGAACACUCUAUAUAGUAUUAAUGCUGUCCCUGCACCAAUUCAGGUUAAGUAAAGGGACAUUGUGAAAACCCAAACCACUCUGUAUCUUAAUGAGGUGGUUUCAGGGUUUUGCUAACAGCCUUAUAGGCCCCCAAGCAGAGCAGUGCACUGGGGCCCUGCCGACAGGGCCGCCAUCAGGGGGUGGCAACCGUGACUGUUGUCACAGGCCCGGCGGCCCAAGACCUUGUGCUUUGUCAUGGGCCCCAAAAUUUCUGAUGGCGGCCCUGCCUGCCGACACAACCACUCACAGGAAGAAAAAUUUAAAUUAUCCAUAAAAUUACGCUAAUAUUUAUUGGUACCUGUGACAAGACCAAUCUCGCCACAUUGCAUUGGAGAAGCCUGGUUGCUCGCCUGUUGCCUUUAGACUAUGGCCCCAUGUUGAAAUGCGUGAUUUUCCCCUGCGAAGACACGAAAGCCGGGUCAUUCAGUGCUUGCCCUGUUUGAGCGGUGAUACCCCAGAUAGCUAUGCCAUGGAGCCCAUUCGUAUAAUGAAAGACUAUGGGAAAGACUUUGGCUCCAUGGCAAUUGAACUGUAUAUGUGUGCUCUGAGCGCCAUUCAGUAAUAAUGUGCGCUCAGAUCUGAGCUAUCUGGGGAUAUGUUGAAUGUACCUGUUUUGUGCAAUGGCUGCACAGUUAUAUGUUUUUAUGUGUUUUAUUGUCUUUUGCUGCCAUGUG